rnacentral:tRNA from 1 species
CUGGAGGUGGCCCGGCGGUUAAGAGCACUGGCUGCUCUUCCAGAGGAUCUGGGUUCAAUUCCCAGCUCCCACA